UCGGGACUAGAAACAACAAGGCGACCAAGACCGUGAAACUAAGGUCCUUAGCGCUAGGUACCUACAGCGUCAUCCCGUCAAUCCGUUGUCGCCAGGAACCUUUCUCCGACAGAAGGCAACUCAUGUCAUCAACUUACUGUCCAUUCACGGCCAAUGAAGUUGCUUCAGUUGUGUCAUCACUCGUCGGGCAAAGAACGCCUCGACGCGUAUAGCCUGCCAAGCGUGCGAUCAACCCGAAGCCCCAGAUCUUCCGGCAAUCAAGAAUGCCAACAGGCAUCCAACGACUCGGUGCCAGUGCUCUGGCUCGGGGCAGACAAGGCAUCAUCCGAAAGAGAAGAUAUAUCUUCCGACCUCCUGUCUUUAAUGCCUGAUCCGAGGAAAAUCGUGUGAGGUAGACGUGGCGCUGGAUGUAGAGUGUAUUGUACCCGACAACGUACCUAGAAUUUGCUCAUUGGUUAGCUGUUCAACCUUGGCUAUGCCUUGGCUCUAACAACGUGGUGGAGAGCCGCUUGUCGGAUAAGGACUUACGGUCUGGUUCUGGUGCCGGCGAGAUUGUUUAAAGCUUUGAGGUUUCA